UCCUUGCAGCAGAGUGGAAGCAUUGCAGAUCAUACAUCAUCUCCUUGUUCUGCCAGCGGUUCUUCAGUAGCUUGCUGGUUAAGGUUCCCUGUCUGGUGACCCGCUCUAGCUUGAUGCCUUCUCUCUCUCUUUCUCUCUCCCUCUCCCUUUCUUUCUUUCUGCAUAGUAACUCCCACCACCAUUCCCCUCCUCAUGUGUGUCACAGGGCUGUAGCUGGGAUCUUGCCAAAGCUAUGAAUGCAGAUAAGCGUCUGAUGCAGUUUAUGUUACUCUUCAGCCGUCAGGGGAAGCUGCGGCUUCAGAAGUGGUAUGUGCCGCUGUCUGACAAAGAGAAGAAGAAAAUUACCAGGGAGUUGGUCCAGACUGUAUUAGCCCGAAAACCGAAAAUGUGCAGCUUCCUGGAAUGGAGAGAUCUGAAGAUCGUAUAUAAAAGAUAUGCCAGCCUUUACUUCUGCUGCGCCAUUGAAGACCAGGACAAUGAAUUGAUCACCUUGGAAAUAAUACACCGUUACGUGGAGCUCUUGGACAAGUAUUUUGGCAGCGUGUGUGAACUCGACAUCAUCUUUAAUUUUGAGAAGGCAUAUUUCAUUCUGGAUGAAUUUCUGUUGGGGGGAGAAGUCCAAGAAACUUCAAAGAAAAAUGUUCUGAAAGCCAUUGAGCAGGCUGACCUGCUACAGGAGCCUACUCUUUACAGUAACGAUCAUCAUGCCGUGGGUACACGGGCUAUCAGAAGCUGAUUGAAUUGGUCUUCCUCAUCUCUGUUGCUGGAAUGCAGUGUUCAUGGGGGAAUCUCUGCAUAUUUCUGCAUAUUUCCACAUAGACUAGAAGAAGUUACAGCCUCGCCAUGAGUACUUUAAUGUGCCAGUGUAUUAAAUGACUGCACUCUCCAUGCAUGCAGAGUAUCAGAGGACUUUGAGUUGGCUACAUCAUGGCAGAAAAUUUCCUUGAAAUGGUGAAAAGAUCCAUCUGUCUGAGAGCAGUGUUUAUCAUUCCUACAGUAUAUAUGGUUUGUGUUUUAUGUCUGUUCCAUUUGUAUGUUUCAUACUGUGACUCAUUGCUUAUGUUACAUUUUUUGUUCUUGUUAAUGUAAGCUUCUGUUAACAAAUGUUCAUUAAACUGUGUAAGCUUUUAUUAAAGUGCAUGUUGCAAUUCGUGGAAUACAAUA